UAUGUUGGAAGUAAAAAGUCGUAACAAGGUUUCCGUAGGUGAACCUGCGGAAGGAUCAUUAACGAGUCUUGACUGGGUUGUAGCUGGCCUUCCGAGGCAUGUGCACGCCCUGCUCAAUCCACUCUACACCUGUGCACUUAUUGUGGGUUUCGGAUGGUGGAACAAGUCUUUACUGGCUUGUGAAGCAGUCCGGGCUUACGUUUAUUACAAACCACACAAGUAUUGGAAUGUAUUGCAGUAUAAUGCAUCUAUAAACAACUUUCAGCAACGGAUCUCUUGGCUCUCGCAUCGAUGAAGAACGCAGCGAAAUGCGAUAAGUAAUGUGAAUUGCAGAAUUCAGUGAAUCAUCGAAUCUUUGAACGCACCUUGCGCUCCUUGGUAUUCCGAGGAGCAUGCCUGUUUGAGUGUCAUGAAAUCUUCAAUCUAUAGGCCUUUGCGGGUCUAUAGGCUUGGACUUGGGGGCUUGUCGGUAUUAAUGCCGGCUCCUCUUAAAUGCAUUAGCUUGAUUCCUUGUGGAUCGGCUCUCGGUGUGAUAAUUGUCUACGCCGUGACCGUGAAGCGUUUUGGCAAGCUUCUAACUGUCUUGUAAGAGACACUGUUUAUGACCUCUGACCUCAAAUCAGGUAGGACUACCCGCUGAACUUAAGCAUAUCAAUAGCCCGGAGGGAA
rnacentral:rRNA from 1 species